AGAGUCCUGAUGUGUUCGUUAAUACCGAAUGUUUUGAGCCAACACUUUUUAAUCGGGAGCUGGUGUUUUGACAAAGCGUGCACGCCUCCUUGCAGGGGACGCAUUAAUUGCCGAACAGGGCACCCACCUGCGAGAGCAGGUUCAAAACUUAGGAAGUGACGGCACAGUUGGGACUCUC
rfam:Fictibacillus enclensis strain NIO-1003 genomic scaffold Scaffold2, whole genome shotgun sequence.